UGGCAAUCCCCUAAUGUUCCCUUCCACCUUGUGGAAGUUUUGUUCUUUCGCUCUUUGCAAUAAAUCCCAUUGUUGCUCGCUCUUUGGGGUCUCACUGUCUGUGCGAGCUGUAAUACUCGCCGCAAAGGUGUCUGGCUUCACUUCCGAGACCAGCGAGACCCCGAACCCACCGGGAGGAAUGAACAACUCCGGAUGGGAGGGACAAACAACACCAGACGCACCGCCUUAAGAGUCCUAACGCUCACCGCGGAGGUCUGCGGCUUCACUCUUGAAUGAAGCCAGCGAGAUCACAAACCCACCAGAAGGAAGGAACUCUGAACACAUCCGAAAAUCAGAAGGAACAAACUCCGGACACACUACCUUUAAGAACUGUAACACUCAAAUCGCGAGGGUCCACGGCUUCGUUCUUGAAGUCAGUGAGACCAAGAACCCACAAAUUCCGGACACUUCCCCACACAGAGGGAACUGGCCUAACACUCUGAAUCUACAUCAAGGAACUCAAGCGCUCUUGUUGUCUUCCUGGGCAGGUGGUGCCAAUAGGAUGUACUGACAGAUCAGAAGUGGUCGUGAGAGAAGGAGCAAGUAGCCAGAAGAGUGAAGUGUGCACUGGCUGAGAUGUGGGAGCAGGUGUUGUUGGUUUCCCCGGACAAGAAGGCCCUCGCCAGAUAUCAAGGCCUUAAGCUUGGACUUCCCAGCCUCCAGAACUGUG
rnacentral:lncRNA from 10 species